rnacentral:lncRNA from 1 species
AUGUCUGGCUGAGGCAAAGGUGGAAAAGGACUGGGUAAGGAAGGAACUAAGUGUCACUGCAAGGUCCUACGUAUGACAGCCUGCAAGGCAUCUAUCUGCAAGCCUCCUAUCUGGCAUCUUGCUUGGUGUGAUGGUGUCAAGAGCAUUUCUGGCCUCAUCUAUGAGGAGAUCCAGGAGGUUUUGAAGGUGUUUCUGGAGAAUGUGAUCCAGGAUGAUGUCACACCAAGCAUGCCAAGUGCAAGAUGUAACAGCCAUGGGCGUAGUCUAUGUGUUUAAGUGGCAGGGGUGCACCCUUUAUGGCUUUGGU